CUCGGAAAUUGGAAAAAUGACCUCUCUAAAGUACCUUCUCAGUCAGAUUUCCUUUUAGAAGUUUGGGUUGGAGCAGAGUGGUGGUGCAUUAUUCACACGCCGAUCGUCGUACUGCUACAGAAAUGAUACUCCACUUCUCUUUUCUAAACCAAACUUAAAAGUGUAAUAUCUCGUCAACGGAUUGACGGAAAUCAAAAACUUAAACAUCAAAAUGUAUUUG